rnacentral:misc_RNA from 1 species
UAUGGGAUACUUUAUAUUUCAGAUGAUUGUCGAGACCUUGCUCUUGGCAUGCAGAACAGUGUCAUAGCAGCUGACAAGAUAACAGCAUCUUCAGGGACAGCAGGUGACCAGGCCAGACUAAACUACACUAAUGGACCAUCGUGGUGUGCUAUUGGAAAUGAUGAUAACCCUUAUCUACAGAUUGACUUAGGGACCCCCCACAUCAUUUGUGCUGUGUCAACACAGGGUGACCAUUUGGCGAAACAAUGGGUCAAGACUUUUCAGCUUAAUUGUUCUNAUGAUGGGAAGACUUAUCAUCCAUACAAGGAGAAUGGCAACACACAACAGACAUUUUAUGGUAAUGUGGAUAAUUCUGGAAUCUUCAAGCAGAUUCUUUAUCAAGGAAUCAUUGCAAGAUAUUUACGUAUCCUACCCAUAAUGCAACACGGAGCUGUUUGUAUGAGAGCUGAGAUAUAUGGAAUACGAAUACAAUCAACCUCUAAAGUAAACUACGCCUACGAUAAAACAGCAACACAGUCCAGUACUGGUUGGGAUGCACCGCCUGAUCGUGCAGUUGAUGGGAAUCGUAAUCCAAACUUUGAUUCUGUUAAAAGCUGCACCCACACGGAAAUGCAAGACAAUGAGCCCUGGUGGAUGGUUGAUCUUGGUCAGAGUAUACCUGUGUAUGAGGUGUUCAUUGUUAAUAGGAAAAAUCACCACGAGAGGCUGCACGACUUUCUAAUUCUUAUUGGUGGAAGUUCAAGCAAUGGUGGCAAAUCCAAUCCCGUUUGUAACAGUGUGAAGGGCCCACUGCCCUCUGGGAUUGGAACGUCUAUCUACUGCCAUCAAAGCAUGAUGGGACGGUUCUUGACUAUCACGUUUGACAAUCAUGUGGGAAUCCUCACAUUAUGUGAAGUUGAAGUUUACACUGAAGUUUAUAUGGAAUUAGCCAUUGGUAUAUCCAAUAGCAGCGCCGUACCAGACAACAGAAUGUCGGCAAGCUCUAAUUAUAGUAACACGAGGACUGCAGCCAAAGCCAGGCUCCUUGGCAAUUAUUCAUGGAGACCACGUGACGAUGAUACCAACCCAUGGUUACAAAUAGACCUUGGAGAGAUUUACUACGUGUGUGCUGUGGCUACACAAGGUGACCCGGACGGUGACGAGAGGACAAUAAAGUACAAAGUUGAAGGAUCUAUAGAUAAUCUACUAUGGAUGCCUGUAGAAAGCAAAACAUUGAAAAAGGAAAUGGUUUUUAGUGGUAACCAAAAUAAGUCAACAAGCAUCAUCAAGCAUUCCUUGCCAAGUCCUCUAGCAGCUAGAUUUGUACGGUUCUAUCCUGUAGAAAAUAUUGAAGCAUACGCCCUUAGAGUGGAAAUAUAUGGUGUUACCAAAGUAUCAGUUCCACCGAUACCACCACCGAUAGGGAACAAAGAGCUGCAUCCCAGUCUGGGUUCGCAUAUAGACUUGGUGUGCAGAGCAGAAGGAGGACUGAGCAUCAAAUGGUACCAUAACGACACAGACAUUACAAGUUAUUCUAUCGGUUCAGUAGGAACAGGAUCAAUACUCAUAUCAACACUACGUGUAAACUACACAUCAGUUGAUGAUGUUUAUGACAAAUAUUCUUGUGACGCAACGAAAAUGUACUGUACCAGUUUGGACUACAUUUGCCAAGUCGAUUAUGGUUCAUACAGAAAACUGCAGAGCAGGGGGAAAAUCUCCACAUUAUUAGUGCCCACUAGACCAAGACAUCUUAACGCCACAAUCAACCCUCAACGUGGGACCCAAAGACCAACUGUAACGUUGAAGUGGGAGAAACCAAUGAGAGCGAUAGGCAAAACAACAAGCUAUACCCUAUGUUAUAACUACGUCAUUGAUAAUAAUAGCAGUAUGAAGUCAUUGACCAUUACGGAUUUAACGGGCAUGAGCUACACGAUCGAUGUCAUUGGUGGAGCUCGUUUCGAAUUCUAUUUAAAAGCCAAGGCCAAUGGUCUUAUUGGAGAUCCCUCUCAAACGUGGACUGCAAACAUUCAGGAAUGUAAACCGUCAUCUGCUCCAGCAAAUAUCAAAGUGAUCAAGAUUGAAAAUGGAAAAUACAACGUGUCAUGGGAAGAAACACCCAGAGAGCUAAACAAUAGUAAGAUUAUUACCUACGAGAUAAAUUGGUCUUCCUUGGCUAGACGAAUGCGUCGAUCAACUGUUGCAUCACGUGCAGCUAAUGCUAGCGAGUCAACAUACACACUGGUGAACAUAAGCCUUACAGACAACAUGAAGUACAAUAUCACUGUACGAGGAUACACCAUUGCAGGUCCUGGUCCAUUUAGCGACCCUAUAGUUCUUGAAAAAGAGAUCGAGAAAGCGGAUGGACGUAAAGAGGAUGAUCAAGUACCUGAUUCAGUCAUUGUGGUUGCUGUUGUUUUCUCUUUACUUUUUGUCGUUGGGAUGAUCGUCUUUAUUUUCUGGUAUAAAAAACGUAAAGGACAAGAAGAUACCACUCAACAGGAAAACCCCGGUGGACAUUUAAGAAUGCGUAGCACAGGUGGCGUAGCGGUGAGACCGCUCGCCUCUCACCAAUGCGACCCGGAUGAGUAUAAUCAAAAUGAAAAUCAGAAUGAGGGAAACAUAGAAAUGGUAGAAGUAGAGGGCGAUGCCAUUUAUGAGAAUAAGACAGAAAAAAUCAGUAUCCGCCAGUUUCCAGACUUUAUGAACAGAGUUAGAAGGAAUGAACAUGAACUACUGAUGCACCAAUUCAAGAUAUUACCACAAGGUCGCCUGUACCCUUGCACUGUUGCCAUGAAACCGAUCAACAAAUCGAAAAAUCGCUAUGGCAAUAUCAUCCCAUACAAUAACUCGAGAGUUGUUCUUGAAAAGCUGGAGGGAGACGAAGAUUCAGAUUACAUCAAUGCAAGCUACAUAUGGGGAUAUGACUGUAAGCAGAUAUCCUACAUUGCAACUCAAGGUCCUCUCCCUCAAACUGUUAAUGAUUUUUGGCGAAUGAUUUGGCAAGAAAAAAUGUCGGUGAUUGUCAUGUUAACAGGCAUCAAAGAACAAAAUAAGAUAAAAUGCGAAAAGUAUUGGCCAGAAAAUAGUAAGACGUACCAGGAUCUAUCUGUACAUCUACACAAGACUGAAGUAUUUGCUGACUACUCCAUUCGUACUUUUGUUGUAUCCAAGAUGAAGACAAGAGAACAGCGCUAUGUCUUUCAAUAUCAUUUCACUGCCUGGACUGAUAAAGGUGUUCCUCAACAUGCAACACAAUUAUUGGCCUUCAGAAGACGUCUUGAGUCAGACACAGCCAUGGGGUCUCCUUGGGUUGUUCACUCCAGUACUGGUGUUGGAAGAACAGGAGCUUUUCUUGCCAUCGACGCCAUGAUAAGACAAGCGAGAGAUUACAAAACGAUUGAUGUUUUCAACUUUGUUAAAACAAUGAGACAAAACAGACAAAACAUGGUGCAGACCAAGGAGCAGUACUUGUUUAUACACAUGGCGAUUCUCGAGCAUCUCACAUGUAGGAUCACAGAGGUACAAGCACAGCAACUGGGGAAGACGAUCAAGAAACUGACUAUAUACGAUCGUAAAGAGAAAAUCACGGGAUUUGAAAAGGAAUUCAAGCAUCUUUCAGCCCUUUGUCCUGAUGUCCCCAAAGACGAGAUGAAAAUUGGAAGCAAAGCUUGUAACAGCAAGAAAAACAGGUUUCAGCACAUCCUGCCUUUGGAUAAAGCUAGAGUUAUUCUACAAGCUGACCCGGAUAAAGGGGGAAAUGACUACAUCAACGCCUCAUAUGCCAACGGCUACAGACAAAAGGACGCGUACAUUUUGACCCAGGCUCCUCUCGACACCACCAUCGCUGAUUUCUGGAAAAUGAUCUAUGACAACAAACUGGGAACCAUCGUUAUGCUGAAUGAGAAUAAAGAGGAAAAAAUGGUUAAGGGAUUUUCUUUGCAUUGCUUGGUAUAAUUAUUUGAAUGAAUCCCGUUUCAAGCCUAUCCCGACCCAUGCUUACCUUGAUCAUAUAAGUUACCCUUCAUACUGGCCUGAAAAGGGAUCAUUGGAGUUUGGGAACAUCCCAGUUGAAAUCAUCCAAAAAGAAACUGAGAAAUCCAUAGUAUCACGAGUGUUUACACUGACUCACAAAUC